rnacentral:rRNA from 1 species
ACACGACCGUACCGCAAACCGACACUGGUGCGCGAGAUGAGUAUUCUAAGGCGCUUGAGAGAACUCAGGAGAAGGAACUCGGCAAAUUGACACCGUAACUUCGGAAGAAGGUGUGCCUUUAGUAGGUGAACCUGUACAAGGGGAGCCCAAUGAGGUUGCAAAAAAUCGGUGGCUGCGACUGUUUAAUAAAAACACAGCACUCUGCAAACACGAAAGUGGACGUAUAGGGUGUGACGCCUGCCCGGUGCUGGAAGAUUAAAUGAUGGGGUGCAAGCUCUUGAUUGAAGUCCCAGUAAACGGCGGCCGUAACAAUAACGGUCCUAAGGUAGCGAAAUUCCUUGUCGGGUAAGUUCCGACCUGCACGAAUGGCGUAACGAUGGCCACACUGUCUCCUCCUGAGACUCAGCGAAGUUGAAAUGUUUGUGAUGAUGCAAUCUCCCCGCGGAAAGACGGAAAGACCCCAUGAACCUUUACUGUAGCUUUGUAUUGGACUUUGAACAGAUCUGUGUAGGAUAGGUGGGAGGCUUUGAAGUGUGGUCGCUAGAUCGCAUGGAGCCAACGUUGAAAUACCACCCUGGUGUGUUUGAGGUUCUAACCUAGGCCCGUAAUCCGGGUCGGGGACAGUGCAUGGUAGGCAGUUUGACUGGGGCGGUCUCCUCCCAAAGCGUAACGGAGGAGUUCGAAGGUACGCUAGGUACGGUCGGACAUCGUGCUAAUAGUGCAAUGGCAUAAGCGUGCUUAACUGCGAGACUGACAAGUCGAGCAGAUGCGAAAGCAGGACAUAGUGAUCCGGUGGUUCUGUAUGGAAGGGCCAUCGCUCAACGGAUAAAAGGUACUCUGGGGAUAACAGGCUGAUACCGCCCAAGAGUUCAUAUCGACGGCGGUGUUUGGCACCUCGAUGUCGGCUCAUCUCAUCCUGGGGCUGUAGCCGGUCCCAAGGGUAUGGCUGUUCGCCAUUUAAAGAGGUACGUGAGCUGGGUUUAAAACGUCGUGAGACAGUUUGGUCCCUAUCUUCCGUGGGCGCUGCAGAUUUGAGGAAGCCUGCUCCUAGUACGAGAGGACCGGAGUGGACACACCUCUGGUGUAUCGGUUGUCACGCCAGUGGCAUUGCCGAGUAGCUAUGUGUGGAAGAGAUAACCGCUGAAAGCAUCUAAGCGGGAAACUCGUUUCAAGAUGAGAUCUGCCGGGGCCUUGAGCCCCCUAAAGAGUCGUUCAAGACCAGGACGUUGAUAGGUCGGGUGUGGAAGCGCAGUAAUGCGUUAAGCUAACCGAUACUAAUUGCUCGUGCGGCUUGAUCAA